rnacentral:rRNA from 1 species
UACGUAGGGUGCAGGCGUUAAUCGGAAUUACUGGGCGUAAAGCGUGCGCAGGCGGUCUUUUAAGUCAGAUGUGAGAUCCCCGGGCUUAACCUGGGAACUGCGUUUGAAACUGGAAGGUUUGAGUGUGGCAGAGGGGGGUGGAAUUCCACGUGUAGCAGUGAAAUGCGUAGAGAUGUGGAGGAACACCGGUGGCGAAGGCAGCCCCCUGGGCUAACACUGACGCUCAUGCACGAAAGCGUGGGGAGCAAACAGG